UUGUCCCAUAUUAUUCAGUUUCUCUCUCUCCCCUCUCUACACAAUCUCCCCCUCAGCGGCGGCAACCCCUUAAGUUAGCUGCUAUUUCCAACGGUAAGUUCUCCCUCUCUCUGUUUAUUUCUUCGGCUAAGACAACCUAGAGUUUCGUUUUCUAGAUAUAAAAAUUUCUUUGGCGGCUUGGGAUUAAUGUAUAGUUCAGUGAUUGGGAUGAUGGUUUGUGAUAAAAUUUACUGAUGUUUCGGAUUUUUAUUCUCUUUAAAUAUAAAGGAGGAAGGCAAAAUCUUAUUGCAGCUCAGGGAGAAGACUUCGUAUUGGUUGGUUGAAUUGGUUGUGCUCUUAAGCCAGAGAAUUAUGCUCUUAAUAUAGAUUGGUUGGUUGAAUUGGUUGUUUAUUGAUCGGUCAUUUGGCAAGUGGUGUGCCAAUAAAACGGAAAAAAUCAACCCAGUUUUUUCAACUACUGUGGUCCGAAAAUGUGCCGAGAAAUAAUGAUUUCUCCGACAACAGUAGUCGAAACAGUUAAUGAAAAUUUCAAUAAAUUCAACAUUCCGACUACUGUGGUCGGAAAAUAAAUAAAAAUAAUUAAUAAAUAAUUAUUAUUUAUUAUACAAUAUUUUCGACUACAGUAGUCGAAAAUAUUUUUUCUAAAAUAUUUAGUUGUUUUAUUGAAUUUCUGACUACUUUUGUCAGAAAAUAGCUCACUUUUCAAAUUUUUGGCAGAAUAAACUUUCCGACUACAGUAGUUUCCGAAUAUUGUAAAUUGGUAGGAAAGUAAUUGAAAUAGGCGCUUUUUCGACUACUGUUCGACUAUUUUGGUAGUCGAAAAAUAGCGAAUUUCUAGUAGUGAUUAAAAGUUCUGUUUCGAAUGAAUUGAUGCAUUGUGUAUGCUUCAAAUGCGAAGAAGGUUUGGAGAGAUUUUAAGGAGAGGUUUGAUACAUCGAACUUGACGAGAUUUUAUCAUCUCUGGAAAGAAAUUGCAACCUUGCAACAAGGUACAGACUCUGCAACUAGCUAUUAGUCGAAGAUGAAGGGUUUAUGGGAUGAACAAGAUGUGCUGGCUCCCCUACUUUCCUGUAGUUACGAAGAGUCUAGACCAUAUGUUAAACAUCUAAAAUCACGUCUCUUGCAAUAUUUUAUGGGGUUAAAUGAAGCUACAACAAUGUGAGAAGUAACCUCUUGGCUCAGAGACCAGUAGAUAAAGGUGUUAAUCGAGUCGAGUCGGAUCGACCCACUAACAACCUCGUUCGACCCGGUUCAGCCCGGUCCGGUAAGAGGUGGGAUGGGUUGUCUAGGGUAGGGGGUUGUAUCGGACGGGGUCGAGCCUUUUUUGACUACCGGUGCAUCGGAACCCGGCUAGCCUGGUAACCAGUUUAAGGGUUUUAACCAUGUUCCAGCCCGAUAUAAGUUAUAAGUUUUUUUAAAAUUUUGAGCAUUGCCAACAGCCAAAAUAAAAAAUGACCAUUGAGCAACGACUAUUUUUUUUACUUUUAGCCGUUUCGGCCUAUCCCCUUAAUAAAAUUGCCUCUCAACCCCUAAUAAUUGAUAAGUUAUAUUUUUAUCCUUUUAAGAACUAUAAGUAGCUCCCCUCUUCUUUAUUUUUUCUCACAACUUUCUCUCUUCUUCUACUCUAAUUCUCUCUCAAUUCCCUCAUGAUCAUUGAAUUGCUUGCAAGUUCUUAAAUUAUUAAUAUUUCAAGUUGUAACGAUCCGACUGGUCGUUUUGAGUAUUAUAGCUUCAUUCCCCCCAUUUAUUGCUUAUUCUAUGUUCAUUUGUUGUUAUAUGUCUUGGGUUGAGAUUCAUAUUUUUCUUAUUGUUUGAUAUGAUAUGAGGCCUCGACUAAGUUCAUACGAUGUUUAUGAUGGGUUGGUAUGUUUGGAUGGGGUCCCGGAGGCCUCGAGGAUGAUUCAGAUGGAAAUCGGAAUGAGUUUGGACUUGAGGAAUUUCUGAAGUGCACCAAGUUUGGUGCGAUCGCACCUGCGAAGGAUCGCACCUCGGAUUGAGGCAAUUUUUGAAGGAGUUUUCACUAGAUUUCACAAAGUAUGCAACUUUUGGUCGUUUUGAUCUAUUAAUAUUGAAUAUAUUGAAUUUCCCCCCAUAGAUUUGGUAUUUUUGAGGUGAAAAUUUAGGAUUUUUUUACCCAUGUAUUGGAGAGUAAUAAUUGGAGAUUUGAGUGACGAUUUGAUGUCAGAAUUGAGUAAUUUUGAUAUGACUGGACUCGUUAUUGAAUGGGUGUUCAUAUUUUGUAACUUUUGUUGGAUUCCGAGACAUGGGCUAAGGGUUGACUUUUUAGUUGACUUUUUAACUUUUGUUAAAGAACUUAGCUUUAUCAUAUGAAAUUGAUUUCUAUAGCUUUUGUUGAUUGUAUCGAGUUGUUUGUGGCUAGAUUUGAGUCGUUCGGAUGUCGAUUUGCGAGGCAAGGGCAUGUUGGAAUAGAGAUUUAUACGAGUUGAGGUAAGUUACACUUCCAAACUUGGUUCUGAGGGUAUGAAUCCCUGAAAUAUGUGUUAUGUGGUCGGUAUUGAGGUGACGCACAUACUAGGUGACGGGCGUGUGUGCGUGCACUGUAGUUAUUGUAACUCGGUUGAUUUCGUAGAACUUUUUAGUCAUCUAAUCUUGUUAUUAUUCAUGUAAUUUCCAUGUGUUAGAGAAAUCAAGCUGUGAUUCAUGUUAGAAAUCAUAUUUAGACUAUAUGUUGGUACUGUUGGACCUACAGAGGUCACUUUGUUGUUGAAUUAUUUACUAAUUUGCAAUCAUGCACUCAGUCACAUCUAUCCUAUAUAUCAUAUCUCAAUCUCUAUUGUCAUUAUUGUUGCACCAUAUUAUCAUUGUUUGGGCUGAUUGUUAUGAGAUUUUGUGAGCCCAAGAGACUAGAGAGAUUGAUGACUGAGUGAGACCGAGGGCCUGAUUGUGAGUGAUAUUUAUAGGAUCGGGCUGCAUGCCGCAACAUGCUUUUUUGAUUCAAACCAUGAUUGGCUUAUAUAUUAGCUCUUGGGUAGGAUCCGCCCUUCCGGAGUCUGACAAACCAGCAGUAAGCGCAAGUACCUACUAAGUGCGAGUACCAAGCGAUUGAGAGUACUGAGUGACUAAGAGUUCUGAGUGAGUGGGAGGACUGAGUGACUGGGAAGACUGAGUGAUUGAGCAUGCUGAGUGAGAUUAAAUACUCCGAGAGUAUGCAUAUGAUUUUAUCACUGUGUUGCAUUACAAUUGGCAUGCAUAAUUAACAUGCAGAUAUAUUGAUGUAUCAUUCCUCAUAUCAAUCACACUUGGCAAUAUUUUAUCCGUGUUGAACUUAUAUUGUUAAACUUGAAAGCUUGUCUAUAUUUUUGUACAUUUAAAAUCUGUAUUUGGACUGUACCUGUUUGAGCUCGUCACUGCUUUCAGUCUAAGGUUAGUCUUGUUACUUAUUGAGUACAUUGUGUUGGUUGUACAUAUACUAUACUCUUCACUUCGUGUGCAGAUUCAAGUACUUCUGGGCACAGUGGUUGAUAGCUUUGGAGUUUUAUCUAUUUGGAGACUAUUGAGGUAGCUGCCUUGGCAUCCGCAGACCUUAACUCUCCUUCUUUUCAAUUCAUUUGUACUAUUCUAUAUUUCUAGACAGUUGUUUUAACAGUUAGAUUGUAUUGUGAGAUAAAUGCUCAUGUACUUAGUGACAACGAAUUUUGGGAGAUUUUGUAUUGAGUCGCGAUAUUUUCUUACAAGUUAUUUAUGAGAUUUUCACUAUUUAAGCUUAUUUCA
rnacentral:lncRNA from 1 species